rnacentral:lncRNA from 1 species
GGUGAAGUGAUUUGGUAAGAAAGGAAAGCUCAGUCCCUAUUGUAUUAUUCCUUAUAAGAUCUUGAGUCGACAUGGUAAUGUAUCCUAUGAGUUGGAGUUACCAAUAGAGUUAGCAUCAGUAUGUCCAGUUUUCUAUGUUUCUUUGUUAAUGAAAUUCAUUGGUGACCUAACAUCAGUCAUUCCUUUAGAGAGUGUGGGCAUGAAAGGUAGUCUCUCUUAGGAUGAAAUCUCAGUUAGAUCCUUGAUCGACAGAUUUGUAAGCUGAGAAAUAAAGAGGUUGCUUUAGUAAAUUUGUAACGCCC